UCCAAAAACUUGUGAAUGCGACGAAGUUGUGAACUGCUUCUCAAUUUCCCUUAUCAAUUUACUUUUUAUUUUUAUUUCUACAGAGAAAUUUCUUUCGCCCAAACAUCUCGAUUUCAGUUUGGGCAGUUUCGCUUCCAUCAGAACUCGUUCCUAGACUCUUAGUUAAAUGUAAAGCACUGCAAAAAGGUGUUCUUGGCUAGCUCGCUCUGAUUCUCAGGGUUAUGGUUGUCCUGGUCUUUCCAUAACUGAAAAUGCUGCUGCUGUAGCAGAAGUUGCUAGAGUUGAUGCAAGCUGUUCAACUUUCUCUUUGGUUCAUUCUUCCUUGGCAAUGCUCACUAUUGUAAAUUUGUAAAAGGGUCACUGUGUUCGUUUUCAAGGGUUGGAUUGCUGAUUGGAAGUAUGGAGAGGAAGAAAGAUAUAUUGUCAAAAGGGAUGCGGCAGGUUUAACAGUGACAAAAAUGGAGAAUAAAAUUGGACUUCGGAUUGUACAUAAUAGAGACUUAGUUUUGAGCAAAGUCUUUGUCCCUGAUGAUGACAGAAUAUAAAAAGAGUAAAUUCUUUUCGGGACACAAGGUGCCUCUUGGAUAAGAAACAUUUUGGAGUAUCAUUAACAGCUUUCCGAAUCAGUCAGCAGACACCUGUUCACAUGCUAGGAAGCAUUCAAGCAAUGAUUCUUGAUGGUUGGCGUCUGUGCAAGUAGUAUGAUAGUGGUAAAAUGACUCCAGUUCAUGCUAGCUUGGGAAGGUAAUUCCGAACCAUCUCAGCUCACAAAAUAGAAGAAAAUAUCACCAAUCUUGGAUUACCCUGAGGAAAAGAGAAAUAGCUGCCUCGGGGAGAGAAUUGCUUGUGGUGGCAAAGGAAUUUUGGCUGAUUUUCAAGUGGCAAAGGUAUUCUCUGACUUAGAACUUAUGUACACGUUCGAAGGCACAUAUGACAGAAACACCUUGGUCACAGGCAGGGAAGUUAGUGGUUUUGUGAAAAUUGCGUAAAUCAUGGCAACUUGGUGCUCUGGUGUUUCAGGCAACGCCUAAGUACUCCUGGUGUCAAGGACUUCACUUUGCACCGAUCAAUUUGUGAUUCUGAGCUGGUAAGUUCCUUCUCUUUCUAAGAAAACUGGUUUCGGGCAUAUGCAAGCCAAAGUUAUGGUUGCAUGUGUUCAUCAACUUCAUUUUCACAAAUCCUGAUCAUAUUAUGGUCUUUUAAUUGAUCUUUCCUUAUUAUUUGGUGGGUUAUAGGCAUUCUAGAAAGGUAAGGGAAGCUUGUAAAAAAGGUAAGGGAAGCUUGUAAUUUAAUUAUGAUUCUCUGAUUUUGAAUGGUUGCAUGUUUGAAUGAUGUUCGGUUUGGUUAUUUAGUUGAUAUUGAAUAUUGAGUUUGUUGCAUAUUAAUCUGUAUGUGUUGAUGAUUUAUAAAUGGUGUGAACUGGGUAGGAAUAAGGUUUGAUCUUAAGUCUGCAGCGUUCUGCGUAAUUCUGUAAUUGUCGUCGAGAGUCAUUCGUGAUUGUUCAAUUUUUCAUUAGGCAUUCGGUCUGGACUGGAUUCUUCUUCUAUAGAGAAUUUCAGUUAAUGACAGAUUGGUUUCCUAUUAGUAUACUUGAAAAUGUGCGUUUGGUUUAAGUAUAGUUUCCUAUUUCUUCUUAGUAAUCAGCUUAGUUAAGAUACUCGAUAUGACUUAAGUCUUAGAUACUAUACUUAUCCUCAGUUGUAAAUAAGUAUUUGUGGUUGUACGGGAGAAUCUAUUUAUUCAUUUUGUAUAAGUUUAGUAGUGCUUGGUCUUGAACCAAGUGUUCGGUCUCAGUAGAGCUCGGUCUUGAACCAAGCGAUCUCGUCAUAAUACUCAAUUAUGUACUUGUAUUUGAAACUAAGAGUGUUCAGCCUAAGCUCGUAGUGUUCGGUCCUAGCUCUUAGGUUUCGGUUAAAAGCUUUUAGUAUUCAACAAAUUCUGAGUUCUAUCUAGUAAAGAUCGUUCAGUCAUAGCUUUUGAUUAACGAGAAAACAUUUAGUCUCUCAAUAAGUAUUCGGUUUGAUUUAUAGUGUUCAGCCUGGUUAUAACGAUCGGUCAUGUUGGUCACUAAAAAGUACUAUUCUGUUCGGUGUGAUUCAUAGGAAUGAUGAUAUCUCUUUCGGUUUUUGUCAAAGAUUGGGAUCUUAUUUUAUUGUGCGGUUUGACUAUAUUGAAGGCUAAGUAUGAUGGUAUUUAAAGUGUAACAUGAAUUGAGUAAUAUGGAUAUGAAGGAGUAUUCCAAGGAGGAAUAUCUUGUGGUUGGUCAUUGAAUGGUAAAGUAUGAAUGUGGUUAUGCUUAGUUGGCGUUUAUCUUGAUAUUCUGUGAUUACUCAUUCUCAAGUAGAGAAGAGUAACUCAUGUGUGAGAAUGGCAGGAGGGCCUAGUCCAUAAGGUGAACUUGGGCGAGGUAUAAUGGACUAACCUCGGGUGACAGCUGUUGAGGGCAUCCCAGCUACUAUACCAUCCGGGUGCAAAAACGUCGUAGCUACAUAAUUUAUACAGUCCAAACAGUCAGAGAAAAAGUGGUCGAUUAUUGUAUGUAUAUGUUCGGUCUUUACUUGGAUGUAUAUGUAUGAUGAUUGUAUGCUAUAGUUGUGUAUGAAUUAGUUUAUAUUAAUAUGAUUAAUUAAAUUACUCAAGCUUACCUUACUCUCCUGUCUUGUCUUUGUUGUCCGUUUGGUCAUACUUCCUGUUGCAAUGAUCAUCCUGUGGAUGUGAG